rnacentral:rRNA from 1 species
GUCCAGACUCCUACGGGAGGCAGCAGUGGGGAAUAUUGCACAAUGGGGGAAACCCUGAUGCAGCAACGCCGCGUGAGUGAAGAAGUCAUUCGUGAUGUAAAGCUCUAUCAGCAGGGAAGAAAAUGACGGUACCUGAGUAAGAAGCCCCGGCUAACUACGUGCCAGCAGCCGCGGUAAUACGUAGGGGGCAAGCGUUAUCCGGAUUCACUGGGUGUAAAGGGAGCGUAGACGGCCAUGCAAGCCAGGGGUGAAAGCCCGGGGCCCAACCCCGGGACUGCCCUUGGAACUGCAUGGCUGGAGUGCGGGAGGGGCAGGCGGAAUUCCUGGUGUAGCGGUGAAAUGCGUAGAUAUCAGGAGGAACACCGGCGGCGAAGGCGGCCUGCUGGACCGCGACUGACGUUGAGGCUCGAAAGCGUGGGGAGCAAACAGGAUUAGAUACCCUUGUA